ensembl:lncRNA
GCGCUGCUUGUGCUCUUAAUCCUGUACUGCUUCAACUUUGCUGCACAGUUGUGGAGCGUGUGACCCCCUAACUUUACACACUGGGACGCCAGCGCUAAAGAAGGCCCUGUUUCUGUCAGGAGCAGUCGUUUGAAUCGCUGAGGUGCAAGAAGUGCAGCUUCUUUCUGAAAGGUAAGGGGUUUUGGUGUUGACACCAUUAAGAUAUUCAACAGUUAAUCACCACAGUAGUAGUGUACUCUGAGGUAAAAUAAAAGGCUUCUGAACAGCAAUGCACUGAAACUUAACAUUUACUCUCGCGCGUAAUUAUGAUAAUGAGAUCAACCCGGCAUUCAGUUUUGAAAUACGGUGUAUUUGGCAAGAAUGAUUGCCGAUAAUGAAUCCACCUAAACUCAAAUGUCAGAUGACUCUCUUCUCAAAUAUUUAUCGUCUCUCUCCAUGUUAUUUUUCUCCCGCCGCUUUAGCGAGAUCAGCGAGAUCCAGCCGACAAGCGUUCCAGUUCUACCACCAGACCCAAGAAAGCAGCACAACAGCAAAACAUCGCACAGGACUGACAGCCAGCUCAGCUUAAAUCGAGCCACUGCAUCAGAAACAGAGCGGGAGGUGUGCAGUUAUGUGAGACUGAACAUGCAGAACCAGAGUGGCAAAGAUUACUGGCACCGUCACAGACUCAGCGAUCACCAUGACAACAACACAGAUGAAGAUGACUAUGCCGUUCCGGAGGAAGACUACGACGACGGGAUAGUGCACAUUCAGCCAGCGAAACACUGCCCCACUAACACGGAGUAUGCAGACCGGAGACCAGACCACAGACCACUCCCCUGUGUUCCAGUCAGAGGAGAUGACAAAUUCAACACUCCCCCAAGGCCUCCAAAGAGGGUGAUCCCAGGACCCGCAGUUAACAGAGCAUGCAAGCCAGGCAGAGAGGCCAAAACUAAGACAGAAGGGUUCCCUAAGAGCAGAGCUCCUGAGACCAAUCAGGUAGAACGCAAAAUGCAUUUGUUUUCAUUGGGCCUGCCCUGGACACAGAAUUGUAAAAUAUUUAAAACGCAAAAGGUUUCAAUAUUGAGUUUCAUUAUUUGCUCUAUCUGCAUAUUUUCUAGAAUCUAA